CUAGGAAUCUGCCUGGUAGUGGGGGACAACGUUUCGAAAGGAACGCUAAUACCGCAUACGUCCUACGGGAGAAAGCAGGGGACCUUCGGGCCUUGCGCUAUCAGAUGAGCCUAGGUCGGAUUAGCUAGUUGGUGAGGUAAUGGCUCACCAAGGCGACGAUCCGUAACUGGUCUGAGAGGAUGAUCAGUCACACUGGAACUGAGACACGGUCCAGACUCCUACGGGAGGCAGCAGUGGGGAAUAUUGGACAAUGGGCGAAAGCCUGAUCCAGCCAUGCCGCGUGUGUGAAGAAGGUCUUCGGAUUGUAAAGCACUUUAAGUUGGGAGGAAGGGUUGUAGAUUAAUACUCUGCAAUUUUGACGUUACCGACAGAAUAAGCACCGGCUAACUCUGUGCCAGCAGCCGCGGUAAUACAGAGGGUGCAAGCGUUAAUCGGAAUUACUGGGCGUAAAGCGCGCGUAGGUGGUUCGUUAAGUUGGAUGUGAAAUCCCCGGGCUCAACCUGGGAACUGCAUCCAAAACUGGCGAGCUAGAGUAUGGUAGAGGGUGGUGGAAUUUCCUGUGUAGCGGUGAAAUGCGUAGAUAUAGGAAGGAACACCAGUGGCGAAGGCGACCACCUGGACUGAUACUGACACUGA
rnacentral:rRNA from 1 species